UCAGGUUUUGAUAAAAGUAGAAGAGGGGAAAUAGCAGCGCCGCCAGUAACACCACCUUCUCAAGAUCUAAAUUCGAAUCAUGCCAAGAUUGCCAAGACUACCACUCCGAGGAGCACCAACCCGCGGGGCCGGAAGAAACUUCGAUUGACGCUGCAAAACCUAAAGAGUGCCUAGGAGAAGCAGGUGGAAACCCACUUAGAGAAGGAGCUCGACCUUAUUUCCUUAUUAUAAGGAAGUCGUGACUGAGAAAGUGCACGAACUGAGCCAGUGCAUGGUUUACGAAAGGCCGCCAUUGCGGUUUUGCUGGAGGAGAGUGACUUCCGCUGUUGAAACUUGUUGACAGAUCCAUUACAGAUUGAACGGGGAGGUCGGUAGCGGCGCAAUCAUGCUGGCAGAGCCGUGACCUACCCCACUAUGAAGAGUAGUGUGUUGUUUGCGGGACGGAAAGUGACUUAUGAAUAUACCUAGUAUUAGAGGACUAGACUGAGUCGUGUCUUUGGUGUUGGAAGAAAUGAUAGAAGCUCUAUAAGGGCUAAAGAAGGCAUCGACAAAGCUCAGUAAAGGUAUUCCUGAGGCAGAUAUCCAAUCGUUAGUGGAUAGUUCGAUGCAGAAAAAUAGUGAAGCCAUGUGCAUAACACUUCCUAACAUAAUUUGGUCUGUGUCUCAAAUAUUCAAAUGCCUAUGAUGAUUCAUUUAAUUUUCUAACAUAUCAUGGUAGGCAAUCCAUAAGUCUCUCCCCAGCAAACACGCUAGUCUUUACAGUGGCGUAGGUCCCCGACUCAGCCAGCACGAUUGCGCCGCUACCGAUCUCCCCAUUUAAUCUGUCAUGGAUCUGGUCGACAAGCUUUAACGAAGGUCACUCCCCUCCAGCACAAUCGGGAUGACGACCUUUCGUGAACCACCGUACUGGCUCAGUUUGACAUGCACUUUCUCAGCCACAGCUUCCUUCUAAUAGCGGAACAGGCGUCAGGUUUCCGCUUGCUUCUCCUCGACACUCUAAUAUAUGACUCAAUGACACAUUUGUUUAUGAUUGUCUAUUUUUUGAUUAAUAACAUGUCAUUUAUGUCAUA